rnacentral:tRNA from 1 species
GGGGAUUUAGCUCAGUGGCAUAAGCACCUGCCUUGUAAGCAGGCAGUCGUGAGUUCAAUUCCCA